UACGAAGGGGGCUAGCGUUGCUCGGAGUCACUGGGCGUAAAGCGCACGUAGGCGGACUCUUAAGUCGGUGGUGAAAUCCUGGAGCUCAAUUCCAGAACUGCCUUCGAUACUGGGAGUCUCGAGUCCGAGAGAGGUGAGUGGAACUGCGAGUGUAGAGGUGAAAUUCGUAGAUAUUCGCAAGAACACCAGUGGCGAAGGCGGCUCACUGGCUCGGUACUGACGCUGAGGUGCGAAAGCGUGGGGAGCAAACAGG
rnacentral:rRNA from 1 species